AUUGAACGCUGGCGGCAGGCCUAACACAUGCAAGUCGAGCGAGCGGCGGACGGGUGAGUAAUGUAUGGGGACUGCCCGAUAGAGGGGGAUAACUACUGGAAACGGUGGCUAAUCCCGCAUAAUGUCGGAUAACCCAUAUGGGAUUAGCUAGUAGGUACGGUAAUGGCUUACCUAGGCGACGAUCCCUAGCUGGUAUGAGAGGAGGAUCAGCCACACUGGGACUGAGACACGGCCCUGACUCCUACGGAGGCAGCAGUGGGGAAUAGUGCACAAUUGGCGCAAGCCUGAUGCAGCCAUGCCGCGUGUAUGAAGAAGGCCCUAGGGUUGUAAAGUACGUUCAGUCGUGAGGCGUUACCGACAGAAGAAGCACCGGCUAACUCCGUGCCAGCCGCCGCGGUAAUUC
rnacentral:rRNA from 1 species